rnacentral:rRNA from 1 species
AUUGAACGCUGGCGGCAGGCCUAACACAUGCAAGUCGAACGGUAACAGGAAGCAGCUUGCUGCUUCGCUGACGAGUGGCGGACGGGUGAGUAAUGUCUGGGAAGCUGCCUGAUGGAGGGGGAUAACUACUGGAAACGGUAGCUAAUACCGCAUAAUGUCGCAAGACCAAAGAGGGGGACCUUCGGGCCUCUUGCCAUCGGAUGUGCCCAGAUGGGAUUAGCUUGUUGGUGGGGUAACGGCUCACCAAGGCGACGAUCCAUAGCUGGUCUGAGAGGAUGACCAGCCACACUGGGACUGAGACACGGUCCAGACUCCUACGGGAGGCAGCAGUGGGGAAUAUUGCACAAUGGGCGCAAGCCUGAUGCAGCCAUGCCGCGUGUAUGAAGAAGGCCUUCGGGUUGUAAAGUACUUUCAGCGGGGAGGAAGGGAGUAAAGUUAAUACCUUUGCUCAUUGACGUUACCCGCAGAAGAAGCACCGGCUAACUCCGUG